CUGGCUAGCCCGGCGGGUCCCGGGGACAGGAGAGGGAAGGAUGGGGCCGGCGGGCGGAACUAGAGUCCGCUGGGACCGGGCGCGGCCUCGUCCGCGUGCCGCUGCCUCCAAGGGCACCUGGGGGACGCGCGGGGCACUCGGGUCUCGCUGAGCUCGGUGGGCUGGCUGUUCCCAUCACGGUUGGCUUUCGUGAGACGGGUGUUUUAUUUCCCUCCUUGCCUUGCCCAGGGACUGCGGAGUUAGUUUUGGAAUCGCGCUGUUGAGGCUGAGAGACGCUACGAGCAGCGGAAAGAGCUCAGUGCUAGAAAGCCUGGUGGGGAGGGACCUGCUUCCCAGAGGUACUGGAAUUGUCACCCGGAGACCUCUCAUUCUGCAACUGGUCCAUGUUUCACAAGAAGAUAAACGAAAAACAACAGGAGAAGAAAAUGGGGUGGAAGCAGAAGAAUGGGGUAAAUUUCUUCACACCAAAAAUAAGCUUUACACGGAUUUUGAUGAAAUUCGACAAGAAAUUGAAAAUGAAACAGAAAGAAUUUCAGGAAAUAAUAAGGGAGUAAGCCCUGAACCAAUUCAUCUUAAGAUUUUUUCACCCAACGUUGUCAAUUUGACACUUGUGGAUUUGCCAGGAAUGACCAAGGUGCCUGUAGGUGAUCAACCUAAGGAUAUUGAGCUUCAAAUCAGAGAGCUCAUUCUUCGGUUCAUCAGUAACCCUAAUUCCAUUAUCCUCGCUGUCACUGCUGCUAAUACAGAUAU
rnacentral:sRNA from 1 species